rnacentral:rRNA from 1 species
CAGUAGCCACGGUAAUACGGAGGGCGCGAGCGUUACCCGGAUUUACUGGGCGUAAAGGGCGAGUAGGCGGCCUGGGGCGUCCCAUGUGAAAGGCCACGGCUCAACCGUGGAGGAGCGUGGGAUACGCUCAGGCUAGAGGGUGGGAGAGGGUGGUGGAAUUCCCGGAGUAGCGGUGAAAUGCGCAGAUACCGGGAGGAACGCCGAUGGCGAAGGCAGCCACCUGGUCCACUUCUGACGCUGAGGCGCGAAAGCGUGGGGAGCAAACCGGAUUAGAUACCCCCGUAGUCCCUGUCUCUUAUAC